UACGGAGGGUGCAAGCGUUAUCCGGAUUCACUGGGUUUAAAGGGUGCGUAGGUGGCUUAGUAAGUCAGUGGUGAAAUCUCCGGGCUUAACCCGGAAACUGCCAUUGAUACUAUUAGUCUUGAAUACCGUGGAGGUCAGCGGAAUAUGUCAUGUAGCGGUGAAAUGCUUAGAUAUGACAUAGAACACCAAUUGCGAAGGCAGCUGGCUACACGAAUAUUGACACUCAGGCACGAAAGCGUGGGGAUCAAACAGG
rnacentral:rRNA from 1 species